UGGGGAAUUUUGGACAAUGGGCGCAAGCCUGAUCCAGCAAUGCCGCGUGCAGGAUGAAGGCCUUCGGGUUGUAAACUGCUUUUGUACGGAGCGAAAAGGUCUGCCCUAAUACGGUGGGCUCAUGACGGUACCGUAAGAAUGAGCACCGGCUAACUACGUGCCAGCAGCCGCGGUAAUACGUAGGGUGCGAGCGUUAAUCGGAAUUACUGGGCGUAAAGCGUGCGCAGGCGGUUAUAUAAGACAGAGGUGAAAUCCCCGGGCUCAACCUGGGAACUGCCUUUGUGACUGCAUAGCUAGAGUACGGUAGAGGGGGAUGGAAUUCCGCGUGUAGCAGUGAAAUGCGUAGAUAUGCGGAGGAACACCGAUGGCGAAGGCAAUCCCCUGGACCUGUACUGACGCUCAUGCACGAAAGCGUGGGGAGCAAACA
rnacentral:rRNA from 1 species